GACGAACGCUGGCGGCGUGCUUAACACAUGCAAGUCGAACGGAAAGGCCCUGCUUUUGUGGUGUUCUCGUGUGGCGCACGUGUGUGUAACACGUGUGUACCCUGCCCUUCUCUUUGGUAUACCUUCAGGACACUGGCUCUAUUACCGGAUAUGCCCUCCUUCUGCAUGGUGUUGGUUGGAAUUUUUCGUGGGUUGGGUGGUGACUCGCGGCUUAUCAGCUUGUUGGUGGGGUAGUGGCUUACCAAGGCUUUGACGGGUAGCCGGCCUGGGAGGGUGACCGGCCAAAUUGGGACUGAGAGAGGGCCCAGAAGCCAAGGGGAGGCAGCAGUGGGGAAUAUUGCACAAGGGGCGGAAGCCUGAUGCAGGAACGCCGGGUGCGGGAUGACGGCCUUCGGGUGGGAAACAGCUUUCGCAUGUGACGAAGCGUGAGUGACGGUAAUGGGUAAAGAAGCACCGGCUAACUACGUG
rnacentral:rRNA from 1 species